GACGAACGCUGGCGGCGUGCUUAACACAUGCAAGUCGAACGGAAAGGCCCUGCUUUUGUGGGGUGCUCGAGUGGCGAACGGGUGAGUAACACGUGAGUAACCUGCCCUUGACUUUGGGAUAACUUCAGGAAACUGGGGCUAAUACCGGAUAGGAGCUCCUGCUGCAUGGUGGGGGUUGGAAAGUUUCGGCGGUUGGGGAUGGACUCGCGGCUUAUCAGCUUGUUGGUGGGGUAGUGGCUUACCAAGGCUUUGACGGGUAGCCGGCCUGAGAGGGUGACCGGCCACAUUGGGACUGAGAUACGGCCCAGACUCCUACGGGAGGCAGCAGUGGGGAAUAUUGCACAAGGGGCGGAAGCCUGAUGCAGCAACGCCGCGUGCGGGAGGACGGCCUUCGGGUUGGAAACCGCUUUCGCCUGUGACGAAGCGUGAGUGACGGUAAUGGGUAAAGAAGCACCGGCUAACUACGU
rnacentral:rRNA from 1 species